rnacentral:lncRNA from 1 species
UUUAAGUAUUUUUUAUAUUUAAUAUAGUUUUUUGAUAUUCAAUUUGAUUGAAGCAUUUAAGUAAUUCUCUUCAUUUUUAUGCACUAUCGCAUAUAAUAUUUUUUGAAUUGUAUUUUAUGAUUAUUUUGUAUUAUGCAGAUUGCUAUCUACUGCAUAAAUUAUUUAAAAUUCAUUAUAAAUAAUAUUAUCUUUUACAAAAAAA